AGAGUUUGAUCAUGGCUCAGAUUGAACGCUGGCGGCAUGCCUUACACAUGCAAGUCGAACGGCAGCACGGGGGCAACCCUGGUGGCGAGUGGCGAACGGGUGAGUAAUACAUCGGAACGUGUCCUGUAGUGGGGGAUAGCCCGGCGAAAGCCGGAUUAAUACCGCAUACGCUCUACGGAGGAAAGGGGGGGAUCUUAGGACCUCCCGCUACAGGGGCGGCCGAUGGCAGAUUAGCUAGUUGGUGGGGUAAAGGCCUACCAAGGCGACGAUCUGUAGCUGGUCUGAGAGGACGACCAGCCACACUGGGACUGAGACACGGCCCAGACUCCUACGGGAGGCAGCAGUGGGGAAUUUUGGACAAUGGGGGCAACCCUGAUCCAGCAAUGCCGCGUGUGUGAAGAAGGCCUUCGGGUUGUAAAGCACUUUUGUCCGGAAAGAAAACGCCGUGGUUAAUACCCGUGGCGGAUGACGGUACCG
rnacentral:rRNA from 1 species